rnacentral:rRNA from 1 species
AGCCAUCAUUUAAAGAAAGCGUAAUAGCUCACUGGUCGAGUCGGCCUGCGCGGAAGAUGUAACGGGGCUAAACCAUGCACCGAAGCUGCGGCAGCGACACUCAGGUGUUGUUGGGUAGGGGAGCGUUCUGUAAGCCUGCGAAGGUGUGUCGUGAGGCAUGCUGGAGGUAUCAGAAGUGCGAAUGCUGACAUAAGUAACGAUAAAGCGGGUGAAAAGCCCGCUCGCCGGAAGACCAAGGGUUCCUGUCCAACGUUAAUCGGGGCAGGGUGAGUCGACCCCUAAGGCGAGGCCGAAAGGCGUAGUCGAUGGGAAACGGGUUAAUAUUCCCGUACUUGGUGUUACUGCGAAGGGGGGACGGAGAAGGCUAUGUUGGCCGGGCGACGGUUGUCCCGGUUUAAGCGUGUAGGUGUGUGUUCCAGGUAAAUCCGGAACAUCAAGGCUGAGGCGUGAUGACGAGGCACUACGGUGCUGAAGCAACAAAUGCCCUGCUUCCAGGAAAAGCCUCUAAGCAUCAGGUAACAUCAAAUCGUACCCCAAACCGACACAGG